rnacentral:rRNA from 1 species
CUGGAGGUAUCAGAAGUGCGAAUGCUGACAUAAGUAACGAUAAAGCGGGUGAAAAGCCCGCUCGCCGGAAGACCAAGGGUUCCUGUCCAACGUUAAUCGGGGCAGGGUGAGUCGACCCCUAAGGCGAGGCCGAAAGGCGUAGUCGAUGGGAAACAGGUUAAUAUUCCUGUACUUGGUGUUACUGCGAAGGGGGGACGGAGAAGGCUAUGUUGGCCGGGCGACGGUUGUCCCGGUUUAAGCGUGUAGGCUGGUUUUCCAGGCAAAUCCGGAAAAUCAAGGCUGAGGCGUGAUGACGAGGCACUACGGUGCUGAAGCAACAAAUGCCCUGCUUCCAGGAAAAGCCUCUAAGCAUCAGGUAACAUCAAAUCGUACCCCAAACCGACACAGGUGGUCAGGUAGAGAAUACCAAGGCGCUUGAGAGAACUCGGGUGAAGGAACUAGGCAAAAUGGUGCCGUAACUUCGGGAGAAGGCACGCUGAUAUGUAGGUGAGGUCCCUCGCGGAUGGAGCUGAAAUCAGUCGAAGAUACCAGCUGGCUGCAACUGUUUAUUAAAAACACAGCACUGUGCAAACACGAAAGUGGACGUAUACGGUGUGACGCCUGCCCGGUGCCGGAAGGUUAAUUGAUGGGGUCAGCGCAAGCGAAGCUCUUGAUCGAAGCCCCGGUAAACGGCGGCCGUAACUAUAACGGUCCUAAGGUAGCGAAAUUCCUUGUCGGGUAAGUUCCGACCUGCACGAAUGGCGUAAUGAUGGCCAGGCUGUCUCCACCCGAGACUCAGUGAAAUUGAACUCGCUGUGAAGAUGCAGUGUACCCGCGGCAAGACGGAAAGACCCCGUGAACCUUUACUAUAGCUUGACACUGAACAUUGAGCCUUGAUGUGUAGGAUAGGUGGGAGGCUUUGAAGUGUGGACGCCAGUCUGCAUGGAGCCGACCUUGAAAUACCACCCUUUAAUGUUUGAUGUUCUAACGUUGACCCGUAAUCCGGGUUGCGGACAGUGUCUGGUGGGUAGUUUGACUGGGGCGGUCUCCUCCUAAAGAGUAACGGAGGAGCACGAAGGUUGGCUAAUCCUGGUCGGACAUCAGGAGGUUAGUGCAAUGGCAUAAGCCAGCUUGACUGCGAGCGUGACGGCGCGAGCAGGUGCGAAAGCAGGUCAUAGUGAUCCGGUGGUUCUGAAUGGAAGGGCCAUCGCUCAACGGAUAAAAGGUACUCCGGGGAUAACAGGCUGAUACCGCCCAAGAGUUCAUAUCGACGGCGGUGUUUGGCACCUCGAUGUCGGCUCAUCACAUCCUGGGGCUGAAGUAGGUCCCAAGGGUAUGGCUGUUCGCCAUUUAAAGUGGUACGCGAGCUGGGUUUAGAACGUCGUGAGACAGUUCGGUCCCUAUCUGCCGUGGGCGCUGGAGAACUGAGGGGGGCUGCUCCUAGUACGAGAGGACCGGAGUGGACGCAUCACUGGUGUUCGGGUUGUCAUGCCAAUGGCACUGCCCGGUAGCUAAAUGCGGAAGAGAUAAGUGCUGAAAGCAUCUAAGCACGAAACUUGCCCCGAGAUGAGUUCUCCCUGACCCUUUAAGGGUCCUGAAGGAACGUUGAAGACGACGACGUUGAUAGGCCGGGUGUGUAAGCGCAGCGAUGCGUUGAGCUAACCGGUACUAAUGAACCGUGAGGCUUAACCUUACAACGCCGAAGCUGUU